GCUGGGUGUGGUAAUGCACGCCUGUAGUCCCAGCUACUUGGGAGGCUGAGGUAGGAGGAUUGCUUGAGCCCAGGAGGUCAAGGCUGCAGUGAGCUAUGAUUGUGCCAUUACACUCUGGCCUGGGUGACAGAGCAAAAACCCUGUCUCUA
ensembl:misc_RNA Metazoa_SRP Metazoan signal recognition particle RNA